rnacentral:rRNA from 1 species
AUUGAACGCUGGCGGAAUGCUUUACACAUGCAAGUCGAACGGCAGCACGGGGGCAACCCUGGUGGCGAGUGGCGAACGGGUGAGUAAUACAUCGGAACGUGCCCAGUCGUGGGGGAUAACGUAGCGAAAGUUACGCUAAUACCGCAUACGAUCUAUGGAUGAAAGCGGGGGACCGUAAGGCCUCGCGCGAUUGGAGCGGCCGAUGUCAGAUUAGGUAGUUGGUGUGGUAAAGGCUCACCAAGCCGACGAUCUGUAGCUGGUCUGAGAGGACGACCAGCCACACUGGGACUGAGACACGGCCCAGACUCCUACGGGAGGCAGCAGUGGGGAAUUUUGGACAAUGGGCGCAAGCCUGAUCCAGCCAUUCCGCGUGCAGGAUGAAGGCCUUCGGGUUGUAAACUGCUUUUGUACGGAACGAAAAGGCUCUGGUUAAUACCUGGGGCUCAUGACGGUACCGUAAGAAUAAGCACCGGCUAACUACGUGCCAGCAGCCGCAGUAACAC